AUGCUGGUACAGUGCCCUAUUGCUGAGUCACCCACCCUGCCCUUAGAAUCUGGAGACCCUGCUAAAAACAAACCAGGAAGAUUGUCUUCAGAAAAAUGCAUGGCCACAGCUCUACAGAAAUGUCGAUUUCCAUAUUUUAAUCUCCGGAGUCCUGAAAUUUCACUAUCGGAAGGUGUCACUCACUUUAGAAUCCGGGAGGGGAUGUCUGGUUCCUUCACCUGAGGGUCUCAAAACCUCAAACCGUUGGAGGCAGCAGCAGACAUGUUGUGCCGCAUGAGCAAUAGACUUAAAGCCAAAUAAAAUAGCCAUUUCUCUGGAACUGGAAGCA
rnacentral:lncRNA from 1 species